GCUUGUACACAUGCUUCUUUGUAGAGAGUAUUUUCAUCCAAUACAGUAAAUAACUUCUCUCAGUGGACUUCCACACUGUUCUCAGACAUGCUGGAUGUGGGGAGAGAAAGGUAUGGUGAAUUGGCUACCAGAAAAUAUAUUUCUGCUUCUUCAGGUCCUGAGAAAGUUCUCUCUCUCCUGCAAACAUGGACUUGCAGAAAGUAUUCCUGAGCUAUUGAAUUGAAAUUUCUUGUUGGACCUACUGACAACAUUUUAGAUUUUCUCUGACAAACUUUAAAGCCCUUUUCAAGACCUAGAAAUUAACUUGUAGUGGGAAAUAAUCCAUCAGCUCACAUGAACACAUAAGUAAUGAAAAACGUGACAAAAAAGAAGACAAAUAAUGAAAUGGCAUAAUUUGAGGUCGUGGUUCUGCAGAUGAAUCAUACCAAUGAGAAGCUACAGUUCCUUUACUCCCCCAGCACCUGCAGGUCUGCACUUGAUUGAGCACAGGACCUCCGUGGGAUUUAAGCAGAGACAUAGCACUGAGGAUGCUGAGGUACAGCACUAAGGUGCUUAGGGAUUCAGAACUCAAAUGCACAUGUUCACACACACUGCCCAGCCACAGACAGCUCUGUGUGGUCAGCUAUUGUGCUUCAGUAGCUGCUGCUGCUGUCUGCAAAAUGGAGUGAUGUGAGUUCCUGGUCCCACCCACCUAAAAAUCAAUUGAAACUUUUCCUCCCUUAUGUUGAAAGAUCUGAAUGGAGCAACCUUUCCAGGCCAGGAGUGGGUGGGGCCCAGAACU